UAGGGAAUCUUCGGCAAUGGACGAAAGUCUGACCGAGCAACGCCGCGUGAGUGAAGAAGGUUUUCGGAUCGUAAAACUCUGUUGUUAGAGAAGAACAAGGACGUUAGUAACUGAACGUCCCCUGACGGUAUCUAACCAGAAAGCCACGGCUAACUACGUGCCAGCAGCCGCGGUAAUACGUAGGUGGCAAGCGUUGUCCGGAUUUAUUGGGCGUAAAGCGAGCGCAGGCGGUUUCUUAAGUCUGAUGUGAAAGCCCCCAGCUCAACCGGGGAGGGUCAAUGGAAACUGGGAGACUUGAGUGCAGAAGAGGAGAGUGGAAUUCCGUGUGUAGCGGUGAAAUGCGUAGAUAUAUGGAGGCACACCAGUGGCGAAGGCGGCUCUCUGGUCUGUAACUGACGCUGAGGCUCGAAAGCGUGGGGAGCAAACAGG
rnacentral:rRNA from 1 species